CCAUCCUGCCUUCUCGUAUCGCAUAGUUCCCGCCCCCGCUUUGCGGACUGGUUAAUCCGACCGGAGCCCAGGUCCGGCUCGCAGUCACGCCGUCGGAGCCGGUACAUCCAGCGGCAGGAGUGCGAGGUUGCGAGCCGGGACUGGCCCUUGAUGUCCUGCAGAGAUCCACCCUCCCCCCAGAGCAGAAGGAAACUUUCAUUUCAUUCAUGUUAAAACAUUUCAGUAGCUCUGGGUAUCUGGCUGCUAACUAACUAGCAAGUGUCUGUUUCACGACAAAAGUAGUGGAAUAUUACAACUAGUGUUAAUAAUUGUAAUGACACUUAAUGCAACCCAGAGGUGUUUCUUAUGAUUUUCUUCUCUCGCUGUUUUGCGCCCCCUGAUCUAAUGACUCUCUAGGCGGUUUUAUUAUAUUUGAGGGCGGGGUAAAUAUUAUUCUUUGCUUUUUUGAACCCCUCUGUUUAAAAAGUAUAUUUGAUUGUUGCUUAAACGUCCUAUGCCCCUGUACAAUGAAGUCAGAGGUGAAUUUUCAUUUAACUCAGUUAAUAAAAACUGAUGUUUUGAGGACAGCAAAUGUCCAUUUA